ensembl:lncRNA
AUGGGACUUUCGGAGCCGGGGGCUGCCCGCGGGGUUGUGGUUGGGGCAGCAACGGGCGGCCACGUGCUGGGAACCAAACUGGGAACAAACUCGGCUAAUAGCUGCCGGCACCGCCUGCGGAGCCCGCCGGGGAUGCUGCGGGCUGGCUCCGAGGUCGGCUCCGGAGACGCCCAGGUGGGCUCUGGGGAUGGCACGGGCCGGAGGAGAGCGGCGGCUCAGUGCGCUCCAGCAGCACAAAGCCGGUCCCUGUGCCUCAGCCUCAAUGAGCCCUUUCUCCGGGUGAGACGCAGCGUGUCCGCGUUCCCGAGGCGCAACGCUGGGAGAGAAUCCCGUAUUGACGCUGUGCAGCGCACGGGGAAAACACGGAGUUCCAUCCUCGCGGUCUCGCCCCGGGCUUCGGGCCGCGUCUCACGGCCGUGGGACCCCGCCGCUCCCCGGCAGCUCGUGGCCGCGUCGUGGCGCGAUGCCCCCCGCAGCCGCCGAAGAACCCCGGCGGGCGCUGCGGCCCUUCCCGGCCCCGGCCCCAUCCCGGCCCCAUCCCGGUGCCCCCGCGGCCAGAGCGGAGAGGCUGAGGACAACUUCGCCUUCCUUCGGAAGGGACGGCUGAUGCAACUCUGGGAGAAACUCUCCUUCCCCCCCCGGACCCGUUGCUCCUCGCACCGAACCGAGGCUGCGGCGCUGCUCGUCCCGAGCCCGCGUUCUGCUCUCCGCGAGACUCGGGGGCUCCGGGGGUUGCCGGUCCCGGCGGGGAGAGCGGCGAGAGCUCCCCGUUCGCAGACAAAGGCGCGGUCGGAGGCGGCACAAAGGAGCCCGGCAGCCGCCCGCCGAGGGGCAGAAGGAAGGGGGGGGGAUAGAGAUUGCGGAGCCCCCCGGCCCCCUCCCCCCGGCGCUGAGAUCCCUAGCCCCGCCGCCCCCCGCCGGCCCCUCGCCCCCCGCCCGUACCUACCCGCGAGGGCCCGGUCGUGCGGUGCGGAGGGGCGGGCGGCGGGGGCCCUGCUUUUCUUCACGGCGCUGUCAUCUCCCUCCCUCCCUUUUCCCUGCCUCUUUCCCUCCCUCCUUCCUUCCUUCCUUCCUCCCGGGGUGCCGGCGGGGGGAGCUGGGCCGGGGCGGGGCCGGCCCGGGGCAUCCUGCCGGUUGCAUCCCGCACCUCGUCGGGAAAAGUUUCUCUCGGUGCCCGGCCUGCUCCUCCGUCGCCGGCUGCUCCGAGCCCCGCAGCACCCGCAUGUUCCCUUCCCUCAGCCCCACCGAAAGGAUCUGGGGGGGGGGACUCAGAGCUGCGCUACUCCGGAGUCACACCAAAACUCCACUGCGGGUGUGCUUGGCCUCGUGGGAUGGCGGAUAUACGGUGCCAUCGCCAUCCGGACAGCCCCAGCAACAGCGUCCCAUCGGGGGGGAAACACAGCUUCCCACCGGGGCACACAGGAUGUCCCCAUCCCUACACCUACAUGCCCUGAAUGCAUGGAAACAGGAAUUCUGGCUCUUAUGCAGAAAUCCACGUGUCCCACAUCAAGCAGCGAAGGAAGUCUGGCUCUGCAGACAGAAAGAGCAGAAAGAAAUAGCCCCCAUAUAGCGUCUCAGUCCUGUUCACAUUCCUGGCAUAGCUCUUCCAGGCAUCAGGCAGAAACACACUUGCUGGCACUGGUGUGCUGA